rnacentral:snoRNA from 1 species
UUGGGACUUAUCACCAUGUCUAUGCACUUAAACUUUCACAUAUUCGUGGUAAACGAAACCCAUAGAAUAGACUCGCACGGGUGCUAUAUAUCUCGGUAUUUAGUGCAGAGUGGGAAGUUGCAGCUGUAUUCCUACUGUAUUCCCAUUUUGAAGACGUGCAACAACC